rnacentral:rRNA from 5 species
GGGUUGUGAGGUUAAGCGACUAAGCGUACACGGUGGAUGCCCUGGCAGUCAGAGGCGAUGAAGGACGUGCUAAUCUGCGAUAAGCGCCGGUAAGGUGAUAUGAACCGUUAUAACCGGCGAUUUCCGAAUGGGGAAACCCAGUGUGAUUCGUCACACUAUCAUUAACUGAAUCCAUAGGUUAAUGAGGCGAACCGGGGGAACUGAAACAUCUAAGUACCCCGAGGAAAAGAAAUCAACCGAGAUUCCCCCAGUAGCGGCGAGCGAACGGGGAGGAGCCCAGAGCCUGAAUCAGCAUGUGUGUUAGUGGAAGCGUCUGGAAAGGCGCGCGAUACAGGGUGACAGCCCCGUACACAAAAGCGCAUGUGCUGUGAGCUCGAUGAGUAGGGCGGGACACGUGGUAUCCUGUCUGAAUAUGGGGGGACCAUCCUCCAAGGCUAAAUACUCCUGACUGACCGAUAGUGAACCAGUACCGUGAGGGAAAGGCGAAAAGAACCCCGGCGAGGGGAGUGAAAAAGAACCUGAAACCGUGUACGUACAAGCAGUGGGAGCACCCUUCGGGGUGUGACUGCGUACCUUUUGUAUAAUGGGUCAGCGACUUAUAUUCUGUAGCAAGGUUAACCG